rnacentral:lncRNA from 1 species
GAUUGACAUGCAUAUUCGCUUGGUGUGUUUUAUAUUGUCCAAGUGUCAGUGUGCAAACUCAACAUUUGGGAGAAUUAUCACAAGGAAAAAAAUGAAUUUGGGCAAAGUCCAUGUCUUAUUGAUCAACUGUAUUGACAUAGGUAAAAGUUCACUAUGAUACAGGUCACUCUACGUAUUGUUCUGUAGACCAAUAUUUCACGUCAACCCAACAAUAGCCUCCUCAUACACAGUCUAUACUCGCAUUAUAUAGAACAAAGUUUUCUCAUGAUCUCCAUUUCUUCCUCAUCUAAAUCAUUCUCCUCUUAUGAUGAUGGACAAGAUGUACAGUAACUACUCCUUCCCCUUUCCCUUUGAAUUAUUCCUACUUAGUUUGUGAAAAUGAUUGGAGAAUAAAAGAAUUUAGACUUUCACUUCUUGUGAAGUUAGAAUAUAUUGACUCACAAUUAAUAGUUGAUGCAUCUAUGUAUCCUUUUUAAAAAGUUAAAAACAUCGCUCUUUCUACCAAAUACCACAUAUACAGAUGCAUCAAUUUCAAGUCUCAAGCCAUAAUAUAUUGUAAAAAUAACCAAACCAGGUUAAGUUAUGUAUGUACUUAAUUUCUUAGUAGGGCACGGUUACAUACUUGUCUUACAUUGCUGAUAUACAUACGUGUGGCAAUUUAGUUCUUUUAAUUUCAUUGUUGAAGAGUUUAGGGUUUUCUCUUUUUCUUUUUCCUAUGCCAUUUGAUAUAGGUUUUGCCACUAGGCUAUGAGAAUGGGAUAUCUGUUCACCAACAAACCAAUUUAAAAUAGGUGCAGUUUUCGAUUCUAUAAUUCUGCUUCAUUGGCAAGUACAUUCAUGAAAUUAUUCAUACUCAAUCAUCAGCCUUUUAUAAUAUUGCUUAAAGUUUUUCUCUGAACAAAGGGUGGCAUCUACUGAAGCAAAGCUUUUUUUUUUGUCUUCAGUUUCAAUUAUCACAGGUACUGCAAAUUCAAAGACAAGGUGACAACAAAGAAGGCUGUCAAGUUUAUCUUCGAGGUGGAAUGGUUCAUGGGUUCACCAUAGGCAGUGCAUUUAUUGAUUUUAUUUUCUUGUUUGGGUCUUGUAUUUUCUUGGAACUUAUCAAACAAUCAAUUGUUUAUUUCCUCAGCUUUUGCAAGCAAAAUGUGAUUGUUGGUAGUUUCUGCCAAUAUAAUUGGCAUGUGCUAUUUGUCUUUGAUGCAAUUCCUUGGCCUUGAUGUACAACUGGCCAAGGACAACUGAGUUACUUUUUAUAUUCUGUUUAUACUUCAAAAUAUUUUUUAUUAGCCACCGGAAACAUGUUAGCUACGGUGGUACCAGAUUCUGUGUACCUUGCCCAUACACGAAGAAUAAAGCUUGAUGGCCACAUUUAGCUACCAUGUGUAGUUGCAUCAUUAAUGACGCUAUUCGCAUUGUCUCAUGGGCUCCUCUGGUUUGAUAAAAAAAUUUACUAGGGUAAUGUACUAACUCUGUGCUUUGAGUAUUGUGACUAAUUACAGUAUCUUUUAUUCAGUGUUCUGUAAGUCGUACAGAAUCUAUUGGAAACUAUCGUCUUGGGGGGACCGAAACGUCCUCAAAACUUUUGGUUACCCAAACAUCUCUCUCUCUCUCUCUCCUGUAAUUUGAAAGAGAAUUCUUAUAGAGUCCACUGGAUGUUGGAUGUACAGAUUUGUUCAUAUUAGGUCAAUCUCUACUCAUCAGGCCUUUCUCUCUCUCUUUCUCUCUAAAUCUUUCUCUCUUUCGUCACUUUCUCUUCAUCUCGCCUCUUUCUCCACCCGGCCACGCAACCAAAACCUAAGUCUUACUUGCCAAACCGAAUAUUUUCAGUCUUCGCUCUUCGGUCGGUCGGAUUCGGGGCACCAAUUUUGUAACCCAAUCUAGUUGGGCAGGGGAGCUGUUUGGUCCAAACCUGACGCCACCUGACCAGUGCUCACCCCUAGUAUGUGGAUUAAGGAUUUAUGGAGGGAUAUAUCAAGAGAAGGGAAAAUUAUAGGAAAAAACACAACUUUUUUACUUCAUUAUCUUCUUGUUUUUUAUUUAUUUUUUCCUUUUUUCUCCAUAAAUCCCUACCCAAAUCCGGGAUGCAAAUACAGUCUAAUGAAAAUUGUAGGGUUUAAAAUUAUGGUGUUCUUACAGACAUAAAUUUAUGAUUUAACCAUAACAAAGAAAAUACUGCUAUAUAUAAUUUUGAGCUGCUUGUGAUCUCAAACGCCAUGAAGAUACCUCCACAGGGGAUUGAUAGGGUUGGUAAAUUUAUAAUUUUAAACUCUUACUAAUAAUAUAAUGUGACCAUUUCCACGUAUACCACUCAGUAUUCAAACCAUGUGCACGAAGAACUAUUCAGUUUGCCCAAUUCAUAAUGGUAUAAAAUUAUAAAUCAAUCCAGAAUUCAACCACAGACCUAAUAUAGUUCGUUCAUUAAAAUUAGGCGUGAAACAACAAUUAGCAUUCACACUUGAGUCCAGUCAGUCAAAGCACGAUCAAUCAGAUGUACAACCAUCAUUUAUCAAAAAAGGAAAGUGUUAUAAACUGACGAUAGUGUAUAGAAAAGUAUAAAAAAUAUAUAAAAAUAUGUGAAAGUGUAUUAAAAAGAGUGAAAUGUGAUCGAUAGAUGGAUGGAUACCCAACCUGUCAGAUUCCUACGAUACAAACGCACAAUCAUAUAGAUAGAUAGAUGGAUGGAUGGAGAGAGAGAGAGGGGGGGGCUUACCUACAACGUUGGUGGUCGCACGGCAGCGGCGGAGCAGAUUGACCUGUUGGCAGCGAUUCAGUGGCAUGGAAGGUAAGGGAGUCGGGGAAAGAUGGAGGUUGACCGGAGACGGCUUUGAGCGGCGGCGACUCUCGGAUCUCCGCCCUCACACCCACACCAAUUCCUCUCGGAGAUGCAUGCCAAGUGAUUCAAAGAUUGCAAAAU